UACGGAAGGCAGCAGUGGGGAAUAUUGCACAAUGGGCGCAAGCCUGAUGCAGCCAUGCCGCGUGUAUGAAGAAGGCCUUCGGGUUGUAAAGUACUUUCAGUCGUGAGGAAGGUGUUAAGGUUAAUAACCUUAGCAAUUGACGUUAGCGACAGAAGAAGCACCGGCUAACUCCGUGCCAGCAGCCGCGGUAAUACGGAGGGUGCGAGCGUUAAUCGGAAUUACUGGGCGUAAAGGGCACGCAGGCGGUUAAUUAAGUUGGAUGUGAAAUCCCCGGGCUUAACCUGGGAAUGGCAUUCAAGCUGGUUAGCUAGAGUCUUGUAGAGGGGGUAGAAUUCCAUGUGUAGCGGUGAAAUGCGUAGAGAUGUGGAGGAAUACCGGUGGCGAAGGCGGCCCCGUGGACAAGACUGACGCUCAUGUGCGAAAGCGUGGGGAGCGAAACAGGAUUAGAUACC
rnacentral:rRNA from 1 species